CUGCCUCAGCCUCCUGAGCAUCUUUUCUCCAUAGGGAGUCACUCGGUUCAGAAGAAGGGAGUUAUGUAGAGAGCUGUCCCAUACAGCCUCAAAGCGGUAGAAGGUCCUGAAGUCAGAAAGACAAGAGGGAAUCAUCCAAAAGAUGCUAAAGUCACCUCAGCCCAGGUACUGCCACUGUCAAUCAUCCUAAAGAAC